rnacentral:ncRNA from 1 species
GAGAGCCGGAUGCACUGAAAGGCGCACGUCCGGUUCGGAGAGGAGAGGCAGGGAAAUAGUCCGACUACGUCCUGCCUCUUACUCUAC